rnacentral:rRNA from 1 species
CAGUAGCCGCGGUAAUACAGAGGGUGCAAGCGUUAAUCGGAAUUACUGGGCGUAAAGCGCGCGUAGGUGGUUUGUUAAGUUGGAUGUGAAAUCCCCGGGCUCAACCUGGGAACUGCAUCCAAAACUGGCAAGCUAGAGUAUGGUAGAGGGUGGUGGAAUUUCCUGUGUAGCGGUGAAAUGCGUAGAUAUAGGAAGGAACACCAGUGGCGAAGGCGACCACCUGGACUGAUACUGACACUGAGGUGCGAAAGCGUGGGGAGCAAACAGGAUUAGAUACCCGGGUAGUCCCUGUCUCUUAUAC